GAGUUUGAUCGUGGCUCAGGAUGAACGCUAGCGGCAGGCUUAAUACAUGCAAGUCGAGGGGCAGCGGGGGUAGCAAUACCUGCCGGCGACCGGCAAACGGGUGCGGAACACGUACACAACCUUCCUUGAGGUGGGGGAUAGCCCAGAGAAAUUUGGAUUAAUACCCCAUAAUAUAUUGGAGCUGCAUGGCUUUGAUAUUAAAGAUUUAUUGCCUUAAGAUGGGUGUGCGUAUGAUUAGGUAGUUGGUAGAGGUAACGGCUCACCAAGCCUUCGAUCAUUAACUGGUGUGAGAGCACGACCAGUCACACGGGCACUGAGACACGGGCCCGACUCCUACGGGAGGCAGCAGUAAGGAAUAUUGGUCAAUGGACGGAAGUCUGAACCAGCCAUGCCGCGUGAAGGAUGACUGCCCUCUGGGUUGUAAACUUCUUUUGUACGGGAAGAAACACUCCCUCGUGAGGGAGCUUGACGGUACCGUAAGAAUAAGGAUCGGCUAACUCCGUGCCAGCCGCCGCGGUAAU
rnacentral:rRNA from 1 species